UUAGUAUGAGAGGAACCUGAAUGAUGGACUGAUGGAGACCACAAAGACCAGGGGCCUGUUGCAUGAAAGUAGGAUUAAGAUAUCCGGGAUAAAUGACUGAGCCGAGUUCACCCAAUCCAAAACAAGAGCGUCCAGGCUCAGUCGGUUGCACAUAGACCAAGCCAGGAUGAGCAGACACGGAUUCAUCAAGCCAGGUGAAACAGAUUCACCAUGGCAACGCGUGGGGCAUACUUUUCACCGUCAGAAGCGGAGAUCCUCAUGGAAGCAUAUGAAGAGGUGAAAGAUCAAAUCAGAAAGAAAGGCAACACAGCAUCAAUAAUUAAACAGCGCCAAAAAGCUUGGGAAACCAUUGCAGAUCGCCUGAAUGCCAAGUAAAAGUCAAAUACAAGAACAUCUUGCAGAAUGCCGUCAAAAAGAGAGGCCAAAUACAAAGAACG